CUCAUUUUCUUUGUGUAUUAUCCUCCUAGUUUUCCUAUAUUUAGAAUCUCAUAGUGAAGUGUUAACUAUAUACUGAUUUUCAAAUCCAAAAAUAAGAAGUGUUAAGUCUCAAAACAAUAAACUGUAAUUUAAUAUGUUGAAUACUAUGGUGGGUGGUUCUCGAUCCAAGGGUUAAUAUUAGAAUCACUCAGGGGGGCUUUUCGGGUUUCCACCUAAACUCAUUCUCUUGGUGGUUUUUUUUUAGAAAUGCAGAAAGAAGAAGAGAAAUGGAAUAUGGCUUUCAAGCGGCUCACCUGGCAGUGACUUGCUAUCCUAUCUUCUUUCCUUCAUUUCCCUAACUCCAGGAGGAGAUUAACUCCACCAGGAUUGCAAGAUCAUAAUCUUCAAGACUUUAUUAUCUCUCACUUAAAUACAUGUUUUACCUCCCCAACCAAGUUUCCUGAGUUCAGCACCCUGUUCUUUGGAGACCCAGGCCUCCCUACCUCUGAAGAACUUCUCUGUCCUCCUCCCACACUUCUUCGUUCCACCCCAGCUAUCAUCACUGGGUCUGGAUUGGAACUUCGUUUCUUCUUAGAGAGCAAAGAAAGCAGCUGAGCACUGCAAAAAAAAGUACUGGACCUGGAGCUGGCCAGCUUUGGCUUUGUUUCCUGGCUUCGUCACUUACUAGU